UCCGUAGGUGUACCUGCGGAAGGAUCAUUA
rnacentral:ncRNA from 2 species